rnacentral:rRNA from 1 species
CCUACGGGGGACAGCAGUGAGGAAUAUUGGUCAAUGGACGCGAGUCUGAACCAGCCAAGCCGCGUGCAGGAAGACGGCCCUAUGAGUUGUAAACUUCUUUUGUCCGGGAACAAAAGAUCUCACGCGUAGGGUUUCGAAAGUAGCCUACGAAAAAGCAUCGGCUAACUCCGUGCCAGCAGCCGCGGUAAUACGGAGGGUUCGAGCGUUAUCCGGAUUUAUUGGGGUUAAAGGGUGCGUAGGCUGGAGGAUUAGUUAGAGGUAAAAUGUGGGGGCUUAAACCCGUUCCUGCCUCUGAUACUGUUCGACUAGAGUGAGUAUGCAGCAGGCGGAAUGAGUAGUGUAGCGGUGAAAUGCAUAGAUAUUACUCAGAACACCGAUUGCGCAGGCAGCUUGCUAGUCCUCAUCUGACGCUGAUGCACGAAAGCGUGGGUAGCGAACAGGAUUAGAUACCCGAGUAGUC